AGUGAACGCUGGCGGUAGGCCUAACACAUGCAAGUUGAACGGCAGCACAGUAAGAGCUUGCUCUUACGGGUGGCGAGUGGCGGACGGGUGAGGAAUACAUCGGAAUCUACUUUUUCGUGGGGGAUAACGUAGGGAAAAUUACGCUAAUACCGCAUACGACCUACGGGUGAAAGCAGGGGAUCUUCGGACCUUGCGCGAUUGAAUGAGCCGAUGUCGGAUUAGCUAGUUGGCGGGGUAAAGGCCCACCAAGGCGACGAUCCGUAGCUGGUCUGAGAGGAUGAUCAGCCACACUGGAACUGAGACACGGUCCAGACUCCUACGGGAGGCAGCAGUGGGGAAUAUUGGACAAUGGGCGCAAGCCUGAUCCAGCCAUACCGCGUGGGUGAAGAAGGCCUUCGGGUUGUAAAGCCCUUUUGUUGGGAAAGAAAAGCAGCAGGUUAAUACCCCGCUGUUCUGACGGUACCCAAAGAAUAAGCACCGGCUAACUUCGUG
rnacentral:rRNA from 1 species